AGGGCUUAUGGGGGUGUUUACAGCCUGUUGACAGCAAAAAGAAAGUAUUAGACUGAGUGUGACAGGAAGAUACAAAUGCUCAUGUUAGCUAAGAUUCUGAAUUUAUGAAGUUAGCAUCCCAAUAAAACAAACUCAACAACUGAACAAAGUUGGCUUGCGCUAGCGAGCCCUACCUGGUUACUGGCGAUAGUCAUGCUAGCUAGUGGAAGUAAGUUAGUCCCUCAACCUGCUGCAAGAUGAAGCUGCCCGGCCAGAUCCACCUGCUGCAGAAAGGUCAUAUUUCUCCAUUACUUUCUGUAGCUAACUUAUUUUCCCUGGAGGGCCACAUUAGAAUAUAUGUUUGCCAUCGCUGGCCAGAAUCAUUACAGGAUUGAUAAUACAUCAAGUGUAUGACUGUGUUGACAGAUAUAUCUACUGUAAAUCACGUCCAGAUAUGCUACUUAUUUAACUUUUUUAACAUGCACAGAAUUAAACCACAUCCAUGUUCUCCUUUUGGAAGGUAUUUUCAUUAUUAAACAUGAAAUGAACUACACGGAGGGAGAAGUACACUGUGCAUUCAGCACCACGGACAGAACUCUUGUUAACAGAUGGUAUGUAGUCUUGUUGAUGGAUCCUGCAGGCCUGUUUCAGGGACAACUGGACAGGACACUUCUUGGACUUCAGCUGAGACCAUCUACGUCCUUCAAGGAACGCCCCUUCUUUCCUCUUCCUGUUUUACAUUAAGCUCUCAAGGUGUGUCACCAUUUCUCUCAUGGCGUGUGGUAUUACCUAUAGAUGGUCCCUAAACACUUUAAAAUGCUUUGCCUGUGAAUGGUUGUCCACAUCAUCAGGUUAUAUACUUACCUGUGUCUUUAAAUACUGUGUCCCUCUCACCAAAUGUUUAUGAAUCCUCAGCUGACCUAUGCUUUCUUUCCUCUCUCUUGGGGCGGCAGGGUAGCCUAGUGGUUAGAGCGUUGGAAGGUUGCAAGUUCAAACCCCUGAGCUGACAAGGUACAAAUCUGUCGUUCUGCCCCUGAACAGGCAGUUAACCCACUGUUCCUAGGCCGUCAUUGAAAAUAAGAAUUUGUUCUAAACUAUAAAGGUCAAAUAAAAAAUUACAAAAUUAAAUUUCUCUCCAGGAUACAUUAGGGGAAGUUGUUUUUUUGUUGGCACCAAUCCUAUGCAGCCAGGCUGCCAAAUCCCCCUCAUAUCCCCCUCAUACUAAACUGUGCUCACUCUUGUUCAACUGCCCUUUGAUUGAAUCGGUUUAAUUAAAUGUUUAAAUUUG